AUUGAACGCUGGCGGCAUGCCUUACACAUGCAAGUCGAACAGCAGCACGGGAGCAAUCCUGGUGGCGAGUGGCGAACGGGUGAGUAAUAUAUCGGAACGUGCCCAGUCGUGGGGGAUAACGUAGCGAAAGCUACGCUAAUACCGCAUACGAUCUAUGGAUGAAAGCGGGGGAUCGCAAGACCUCGCGCGAUUGGAGCGGCCGAUAUCAGAUUAGGUAGUUGGUGAGGUAAAGGCUCACCAAGCCGACGAUCUGUAGCUGGUCUGAGAGGACGACCAGCCACACUGGGACUGAGACACGGCCCAGACUCCUACGGGAGGCAGCAGUGGGG
rnacentral:rRNA from 1 species